GACGUAGGGCGCGAGCGUUGUCCGGAUUUAUUGGGCGUAAAGAGCUCGUAGGCGGCUUGUCGCGUCGACUGUGAAAACUCGGGGCUCAACUCCGAGCUUGCAGUCGAUACGGGCAGGCUAGAGUUCGGUAGGGGAGGACUGGAAUUCCUGGUGUAGCGGUGAAAUGCGUAGAUAUCUGGAGGAAUACCGGUGGCGAAAGCGGGCUGCUGGACCUCUACUGACGCUGAGGCGCGAAAGCCAGGGGAGCGAACGGG
rnacentral:rRNA from 1 species